UACAGAGGUCCCAACCGUUGUUCGGAUUCAUUGGGCGUAAAGGGUGCGUAGGCGGCGGGGCAAGUCAGGUGUGAAAUCUCGGGGCUCAACCCCGAAACUGCACUUGAUACUGCCUUGCUCGAGUACUGGAGAGGAGACUGGAAUUUACGGUGUAGCAGUGAAAUGCGUAGAUAUCGUAAGGAAGACCAGUGGCGAAGGCGAGUCUCUGGACAGUUCCUGACACUGAGGCACGAAGGCCAGGGGAGCAAACGGG
rnacentral:rRNA from 1 species